rnacentral:rRNA from 1 species
UUCAGGGGUAAACCUGAGAAGCCCGAAAGGUCGAAAGGGGAAAUUCAUUCGCGUUUCGGCCGUCGGCGUUGGAUGGUCGAGUGACGGAUGGCGUACGCGUCGUCCGCGCCUUCCGUUCUUCGAACCGGCGUCGAACGCGUGCACUUUUCCCCUAGUAGGACGUCGCGAUCCGUUGGGUGUCGGUCUACGGUCUGCGGUGGAGACCGUGCGGUCACUAUCACUGUGUAUCGCACGGACCCGUGGUGUCCCGGCCGACUCGCUCGACGGUAUACAGAUGGCGCGGGGCCGCUACACAGUUAGCGUUCGGCCCGCGGCAAGCGCGUUCGGCGUUUGACGGCGAUCGGACCUGGUGCCGGUGCUGUCCACGAACGACUGUUGGCUGCGGUGUUCUCGAACAGUUACACCUCGUAUGAAACGCCGAUCUGCGACGCUAUAGCUUUGGGUACUUUCAGGACCCACGGACCAAGGAGUCUAGCAUGUGCGCGAGUCAUUGGGACAUAACUAAACCUAAAGGCGUAAUGAAAGUGAAGGUCCGCCUUGCGCGGAUCGAGGGAGGAUGGGCGGUUCGCCCUCAAAGUGGCCGCUCCGCACUCCCGGGGCGUCUCGUUCUCAUCGCGAGAAGAGGCGCACCAAGAGC